CAGUUGCAGACUCAGCAAAGCUCCCACAAUGAUAGUUGCACAAAGUUUCCUCCUUGUUGCUCUCAUUGGAGCUGCUCAAGGCCAGUCCCUCACCUCCUCAGAGCCAGUGGUCAGCAGGGCAGGAGAACCAGCCACUCUGCACUGUAAUGUCAAUGGACUUGCUCUUUCUUGGCUGCACUGGAUUCGUCAGAAAACGGGGAAAGGACUGGAAUGGAUCGGACGCAUUGAUAGCGGAACUGGCACGAUAUUUGCCCAAAAUCUCCAAGGCCAGUUUUCCAUCACAAAGGACACAUCGAACAAUGUUGUGUACUUAGAGGUGAAGAGUCUUAAACAAGAAGACUCUGCUGUUUAUUUCUGUGCACGAGAGCCACAGUUACACAGCUGACGACAGAGCUGUACAAAAACUGAAAAACACUGAUCGUUGACCUGGAAGAACUGAAGCAUGUCAGAGUUUUGAAAACACAUUUUCUUCU